UAGUUUGCCUCCUUUUUGGGACG
rnacentral:piRNA from 1 species